UACGGGGGGGGGCAAGCGUUGUUCGGAAUUACUGGGCGUAAAGGGUUUGUAGGUGGCUCGCUAAGUCAGACGUGAAAUCCCUCAGCUUAACUGGGGAACUGCGUCUGAAACUGAUGAGCUUGAGUGCAGGAGAGGAACGCGGAAUUCCAGGUGUAGCGGUGAAAUGCGUAGAUAUGUGGAGGAAUACCGAUGGCGAAGGCAGCCUCCUGGGCCAACACUGACGCUCAUGCACGAAAGCGUGGGGAGCAAACAGG
rnacentral:rRNA from 1 species